rnacentral:rRNA from 1 species
GUGAGGAAUAUUGCACAAUGGGGGCAACCCUGAUCUAGCCAUGCCGCGUGAGUGAUGAAGGCCUUAGGGUCGUAAAGCUCUUUCGCUGGGGAAGAUAAUGACGGUACCCAGUAAAGAAACCCCGGCUAACUCCGUGCCAGCAGCCGCGGUAAUACGGAGGGGGUUAGCGUUGUUCGGAUUUACUGGGCGUAAAGCGCACGUAGGCGGAUCGUUAAGUCGGGGGUGAAAUCCUGGAGCUCAACUCCAGAACUGCCUUCGAUACUGGCGAUCUUGAGUCCGGAAGAGGUGAGUGGAACUCCUAGUGUAGAGGUGGAAUUCGUAGAUAUUAGGAAGAACACCAGUGGCGAAGGCGGCUCACUGGUCCGGUACUGACGCUGAGGUGCGAAAGCGUGGGGAGCAAACAGGAUUAGAAACCCUGGUAGUCC